rnacentral:rRNA from 1 species
AUUGAACGCUGGCGGCAGGCUUAACACAUGCAAGUCGAACGAUGACUCUUUAGCUUGCUAGAGAAGAUUAGUGGCGGACGGGUGAGUAACAUUUAGGAAUCUGCCUAGUAGUGGGGGAUAGCUCGGGGAAACUCGAAUUAAUACCGCAUACGGCCUACGGGUGAAAGGGGGCGCAAGCUCUUGCUAUUAGAUGAGCCUAAAUCAGAUUAGCUAGUUGGUGGGGUAAAGGCCCACCAAGGCGACGAUCUGUAACUGGUCUGGAAGGAUGAUCAGUCACACCGGAACUGAGACACGGUCCGGACUCCUACGGGAGGCAGCAGUGGGGAAUAUUGGACAAUGGGGGCAACCCUGAUCCAGCCAUGCCGCGUGUGUGAAGAAGGCCUUUUGGUUGUAAAGCACUUUAAGCAGGGAGGAGAGGCUAAUGGUUAAUACCCAUUAGAUUAGACGUUACCUGCAGAAUAAGCACCGGCUAACUCUGUGCCAGCCGCCGCAGUAA